rnacentral:rRNA from 1 species
AUGUGUAUUCCCAAGAAAAAUGGUGGCAUGGGGUUCAGAGACCUACACACAUUUAAUCUAGCUAUGCUUGCUAAGCAAAGUUGGAGAUUGAUAUCAAAUCCUGAAACUCUGUGUGCUCGUGUGCUACGAGCUAAGUAUUACCCUGAUGGGGAUCUAUUAAAGGUGGGUCCUAAGAAGGGAACUUCAUUUACUUGGCAAAGCAUUGUAGCAGGUUUACAAACUUUCAAGAGAGGGUAUAUCUAG